rnacentral:lncRNA from 1 species
AAGGAAGCGCAUAGAGUUGGAAGGAUAGACCUGUGGGAAGAAUAUGAAAGGAGUUCAUAGUAGGGAACUGUCAUAGGAAUAUAUUGUAUGAAAAAUUUCAUUAAAAAGAAGGAAAAUUAAUAUGAGUUUAUUUCUUGCUCUUCCAUAGAGAGAAAUAAGUUGCAAAGUCAAAGUUACCAACUCUUAUUGACAUAGUGACAGGUGAGAGAAAGCAAGCAGGAUUGAGCAAGUUCAUCCAUAAAUGAGGAAAUACCAGGUUUCCAUGCCUCCCAUAAAUUAAAACAUCCUUCCUGAUUAACUCAACCAUUGGUUACCUGCUGAAUACUGGAAUAAAAUCAACAGGUGAACUCCCAGACAUUUGCAAAAGUAAGACACAGUAAAAUUACUCUAUUUACUUAUUUUGUUGUUUUUUUUUUA